AUUGAACGCUGGCGGCAUGCCUUACACAUGCAAGUCGAACGGCAGCACGGAGCUUGCUCUGGUGGCGAGUGGCGAACGGGUGAGUAAUAUAUCGGAACGUACCCUGGAGUGGGGGAUAACGUAGCGAAAGUUACGCUAAUACCGCAUACGAUCUAAGGAUGAAAGUGGGGGAUCGCAAGACCUCAUGCUCGUGGAGCGGCCGAUAUCUGAUUAGCUAGUUGGUAGGGUAAAAGCCUACCAAGGCAUCGAUCAGUAGCUGGUCUGAGAGGACGACCAGCCACACUGGAACUGAGACACGGUCCAGACUCCUACGGGAGGCAGCAGUGGGGAAUUUUGGACAAUGGGCGAAAGCCUGAUCCAGCAAUGCCGCGUGAGUGAAGAAGGCCUUCGGGUUGUAAAGCUCUUUUGUCAGGGAAGAAACGGUGAGAGCUAAUAUCUCUUGCUAAUGACGGUACCUGAAGAAUAAGCACCGGCUAACUACGUGCCAGCAGCCGCGGUAAUACGUAGGGUGCAAGCGUUAAUCGGAAUUACUGGGCGUAAAGCGUGCGCAGGCGGUUUUGUAAGUCUGAUGUGAAAUCCCCGGGCUCAACCUGGGAAUUGCAUUGGAGACUGCAAGGCUAGAAUCUGGCAGAGGGGGGUAGAAUUCCACGUGUAGCAGUGAAAUGCGUAGAUAUGUGGAGGAACACCGAUGGCGAAGGCAGCCCCCUGGGUCAAGAUUGACGCUCAUGCACGAAAGCGUGGGGAGCAAACAGGAUUAGAUACCCUGGUAGUCCACGCCCUAAACGAUGUCUACUAGUUGUCGGGUCUUAAUUGACUUGGUAACGCAGCUAACGCGUGAAGUAGACCGCCUGGGGAGUACGGUCGCAAGAUUAAAACUCAAAGGAAUUGACGGGGACCCGCACAAGCGGUGGAUGAUGUGGAUUAAUUCGAUGCAACGCGAAAAACCUUACCUACCCUUGACAUGGCUGGAAUCCUCGAGAGAUUGAGGAGUGCUCGAAAGAGAACCAGUACACAGGUGCUGCAUGGCUGUCGUCAGCUCGUGUCGUGAGAUGUUGGGUUAAGUCCCGCAACGAGCGCAACCCUUGUCAUUAGUUGCUACGAAAGGGCACUCUAAUGAGACUGCCGGUGACAAACCGGAGGAAGGUGGGGAUGACGUCAAGUCCUCAUGGCCCUUAUGGGUAGGGCUUCACACGUCAUACAAUGGUACAUACAGAGCGCCGCCAACCCGCGAGGGGGAGCUAAUCGCAGAAAGUGUAUCGUAGUCCGGAUUGUAGUCUGCAACUCGACUGCAUGAAGUUGGAAUCGCUAGUAAUCGCGGAUCAGCAUGUCGCGGUGAAUACGUUCCCGGGUCU
rnacentral:rRNA from 1 species